GAUGAACGCUAGCUACAGGCUUAACACAUGCAAGUCGAGGGACCGGCGCACGGGUGAGAAAUAUGUAUCCAACCUGCCCUUUAGUCGGUGAUAGCCUUUCGAAAGAAAUAUUAAUACCCGAUGUAAAGGAUGGAGAUGGGUUUCAUUAGGUUGUUGGUGAGGUAACGGCUCACCAAGCAUUCGAUGGCUAGGGGUUGAGAGAGGAAGGCCCCACGAGAUGGGACAGAGACACGACCCAGACUCCUACGGGAGGCGGCGGUGAGGAAGAUUGGUCAACGGGCGUUAGCCUGAACCAGCCAGGGAGCGUGAAGGAUGAAGGCGUUUGGGUCGUAAACUUCUUUUAUAGAAGAAUACGUAUUAUAUGAAUAAGGAUCGGCUAACUCCGUGCCCGCCGCCGCGGUAAUAC
rnacentral:rRNA from 1 species